CCCCAGGUCCCUGUGCACACCGGGAUGGGGAGGCCUCGGAAAUGCAGGGUGGUGCCCCAGGCGCUGCCCUCUCUCCGUGGGCCGGCAGCUGCUGCCCAUUUCCUUUCCAAGCGGGCUUUUUCUGAGGCUUCGGAACAUUCCAGAGAGGGGGAGUGGCCUGGCCUGGCCUGGGCUCACUCUCCUGAGCCCGACUCCGAUGCUCUGAUCACUGGGCAGCAGCCCGCAUGCUCAUUCAGGGAACCAGGCCCAGGUGACCGCGGCUCCAGCNNNNNNNNNNNNNNNNNNNNNNNNNNNNNNNNNNNNNNNNNNNNNNNNNNNNNNNNNNNNNNNNNNNNNNNNNNNNNNNNNNNNNNNNNNNNNNNNNNNAGGCCCAGGUGACCGCGGCUCCAGCUCCCCAGGCCCCUCCGCGGCCCCUCGGCCCAGUGGCAGGCAGGGUCGGGAGGGCGGGGGGCCGUGCGGGCCCACACAGCGUCUGUCUUUCUUCUCAAACUGCCAGCCCAACACAAACCCUGGGCCUAAGGUCCUGCUAACGCACCACGCCCCACGCCGCUCGCAGCAGGCCACCUGCGCAGCGGCUGCUCCCCACAGAAGCGGUUUCCCGGGCUCCUGGGGCAGCAGGAAGGAUUUUAAGCCCCAUCCUGGCUCCUGCUAGAAGGGACGCGCUGACUCACUGAGGCUGAGAGCCGGGGCCUCGGGGAUCUGUGUCCGUGGGUCUGGUCUGCACAGGGGGUCACUCUGCCCCUUGGGGAGCUGGUCUCGGGAGGGGUGGCUGCCUGCCCCCUGCCAGCUGGGGCACUGCCGCAGUGCCAAGCACACCCUCCCCUUUGCUCAAACAUCCUGCAUGAUGAGGGGAAGACUGAAGCACUGUUGUUGUUUUUAUUAAAACACAGAAUUAAUUAAUUCAGCCGUUUCUCCUGACCUCGAAAUGUCGCAGGAGCGGAGUAAGUAGAGAGAUGAAUUAUUCAUAUCUUUGGAAUCCAUUCUCCCAAACAUGUGCAAAAAUAAAUUGGGUUUUCCUCCUAAAAUGGGGCUGUUUCACCUGCGGGGCUGUGAAUUUGAGAAAUGAGAUUUCACAGGCAGAGACCGUAGAGUCCCCCACCGUGGCCAGGGCAGCAGGGAAGGGCUGCCAGGUGGACGACCCCACGGCGGACACAGAGGACCUGGGGAGCCAGGCCCCGGGUGGCCCGUCCUGAGCAGAGAGCGGGCACAGGUGGGCGCGUCUGGGUGGACAACGGUCCUGGGCCUGAGGUAUAGACCUGCUCCGGGGCUUCACCCUGCCCCCUCCCCACUUUCCUCAUCUGCAACUGAGUCUGCCAAUCAGAGGAUGGCCUGAGGGCUCUGCACCAGGUUCUGAGACGUAGAUUCAAGCAUGCCCGGUGGCUUCCUUCAGUUCCUCGGGGUCACAGUCUAGGUGGCCCCAGGACAAGCAGCCUCGGCUGGCCCUCGGAGUCACGCCCAUCCUCCCAGCUGGAGAGCAGCCGUGGGCUGCGGGGAGGGCCAGGGUGUGCAGGAGCUUUCACAAGGUGAAGCAGGGAUUUGGUCCCAUCGGAUCUUUCUGGGCCUAUUCGCCACUAGCACGUCUUCCUCGGCGAGGCCAUCAGGGGUGUCUGGACGGCUCGGAAAGCCUUUCCGGAGGGUCUCACUGUCCAGAGGCCAAGGGACCACACAUGCUUAGCCCUGGACACAGAGAGGAGUGGGGCAGGUAACCCGUCGAGGUUCCCUCCCUCUAGACCUAGGAAGUGACAGUUUGGGGGCACCGUCAGCCAGAGGGUGGAAAGCAGAGCCGGAGGAGGCACCACACUGCCUGGGGACCCGAAUCACCUUCCGGAAUUCUGUUGCUCUUCCACGCCCCUUUUGAAUGACCUCUGGAGGGCUGGCGAGCCUCGCUCUUAAAGCCGUGGCUCUUAGGACGGGCUCCUUUAAUGAAUCAUGGAGGACCCAGCCAGGACCCUCACGUCUGUUCCCACCACGCACAGCAUGUGCCGGCUGCACUGGACACUGGGAGAAAAGCCUCAAGUAACAAGUAGUGUGGAGAAAGCAGCCUAAGACCAAGGGCCUCGGCGGCCGCCAGAGGGCCAGACCCAGAGCCAGGGCCACCAGGACUGGCCCAGAGGCGGGGGGAGUGGUCAGGGUCCGGGGCCUGUGGGCUCCUGACCCUCCGGGUCCUCAUUCCUCACACUUCUGCCCGCAUCCAGCAAAGCCCCAGGCCCGUGCCCGCCCCACCCUGCGCCUUGGGCUCUGCGCAGGGACGGGGCCCGGGGUGGCCAGGCUCCCAGCUCCUGCACGGAGGUCACGGCUUCAACAGGACGGAGCCCACAGG
rnacentral:lncRNA from 1 species